CUGUUUUUUUUUUUUUUUUUUUUUUCUACCUUGAUUGGAUUCGGGUUAUUGUG
rnacentral:ribozyme from 1 species